UACGUAGGGAGCAAGCGUUAUCCGGAUUUAUUGGGCGUAAAGGGUGCGUAGGCGGCUUGUUAAGUAUGAGAUUAAAGCCCGAGGCUUAACCUCGGUUCGUUUCAUAAACUGGCAGGCUUGAGUGUGGCAGAGGUAAACGGAAUUUCUAGUGUAGCGGUUAAAUGCGUAGAUAUUAGAAGGAACACCAGUGGCGAAGGCGGUUUACUGGGCCAUAACUGACGCUGAGGCACGAAAGCGUGGGGAGCAAAUAGG
rnacentral:rRNA from 1 species